GAUGAACGCUGGCGGCGUGCCUAAUACAUGCAAGUCGAGCGAACAGACGAGGAGCUUGUUCCUCUGACGUUAGCGGCGGACGGGUGAGUAACACGUGGAUAACCUACCUAUAAGACUGGGAUAACUUCGGGAAACCGGUGCUAAUACCGGAUAAUAUCUUGAACCGCAUGGUUCAAUAGUGAAAGAUGCUUUUGCUGUCCUUUAUAAUUGGAUCGCGUGCGCAUUAGCUAGUUGGUAAGGUAACGGCUUACCAAGGCAACGAUGCGUAGCCGACCUGAGAGGGUGAUCGGCCACACGGGAACUGGGACACGGUCCAGACCCCUACGGAAGGAAGCAGUGGGGAAUUUUCCGCAUGGGGCGAAGGCCGGACGGAGCAAGGCCGCGUGAGUGAUGAAGGUCUUCGGUUCGUAAAACUCGGUGAUAAGGGAAGAAGAAAUGUGGAGGUAAAUAUGCACGUCGUGACGGUAACUAAUCAGAAAGCCACGGCUAACUACGUG
rnacentral:rRNA from 1 species